rnacentral:rRNA from 1 species
ACGCUGGCGGCAGGCCUAACACAUGCAAGUCGAGCGGUAGAGAGAAGCUUGCUUCUCUUGAGAGCGGCGGACGGGUGAGUAAUGCCUAGGAAUCUGCCUGGUAGUGGGGGAUAACGUUCGGAAACGGACGCUAAUACCGCAUACGUCCUACGGGAGAAAGCAGGGGACCUUCGGGCCUUGCGCUAUCAGAUGAGCCUAGGUCGGAUUAGCUAGUUGGUGAGGUAAUGGCUCACCAAGGCGACGAUCCGUAACUGGUCUGAGAGGAUGAUCAGUCACACUGGAACUGAGACACGGUCCAGACUCCUACGGGAGGCAGCAGUGGGGAAUAUUGGACAAUGGGCGAAAGCCUGAUCCAGCCAUGCCGCGUGUGUGAAGAAGGUCUUCGGAUUGUAAAGCACUUUAAGUUGGGAGGAAGGGCAGUUACCUAAUACGUGAUUGUUUUGACGUUACCGACAGAAUAAGCACUGGCUAACUCUGUGCCAGCAGCCGCGGUAAUACAGAGGGUGCAAGCGUUAAUCGGAAUUACUGGGCGUAAAGCGCGCGUAGGUGGUUAGUUAAGUUGGAUGUGAAAUCCCCGGGCUCAACCUGGGAACUGCAUUCAAAACUGACUGACUAGAGUAUGGUAGAGGGUGGUGGAAUUUCCUGUGUAGCGGUGAAAUGCGUAGAUAUAGGAAGGAACACCAGUGGCGAAGGCGACCACCUGGACUGAUACUGACACUGAGGUGCGAAAGCGUGGGGAGCAAAC